AUGGUCUCAUGCAAACAUGUUGGCAUUAUUAUUCUUCAUUUGAGAUCUUUCGCGUGCCCGCAAUUCAAAUGUUUUUUCCACCUAUGGGGUAAUGGCAGCCCUAAUUGGAAACGUGAGUUUGCUAUUUGGAAGAAAGAGUGCGAUGCCGAAUGGAUUAUCAUCAGUUCUUCUAAGAGGCGUGCUUCUCUUAGUUUGAUUGCUAUGCAUAAGCCACCUUCCAAGUCAGCUUUGCGUUCGGGUUCUAGAUCAUCAAAGAAGAUUUCUUUUGCCACUAUUCAACAGUAUGAUGCUUUCCAGGGAUAUUCUUUUCCUACGUCCCUAGGUCUUGUUGAUGUGGUCUCUGAUGAUGGGUAUGAUGUGCUGCCUCAUGAGAGAGAUUAUGUGCCUCCGCCGCUGGUGACUGAACUCCGAUGGACGAUGGCGGAACCACCCAUCAUUUUUGAAACAGUCAACGUCCAAGCUAUUUCUUCGGCCCAGAUUCUGUGA
rnacentral:rRNA from 1 species